GCACUUGUUGUUUCCUGGGCGGGUUCGCUCGCCACCAGGACCACCAAAUAAACCUUUUUUAUGCAGUUGCAAUCAGCGUCAGUACAAACAAUGUAAAUCAUUUACAACUUUCAACAACGGAUCUCUUGGUUCUGGCAUCGAUGAAGAACGCAGCGAAAUGCGAUACGUAGUGUGAAUUGCAGAAUUCAGUGAAUCAUCGAAUCUUUGAACGCACAUUGCGCCCUUUGGUAUUCCAAAGGGCAUGCCUGUUCGAGCGUCAUUUGUACCCUCAAGCUUUGCUUGGUGUUGGGCGUUUUUGUCUUUGGUCGCCCAAAGACUCGCCUUAAAGUGAUUGGCAGCCGGCCUUUCUGGUUUCGCAGCGCAGCACAUUUUUGCGCUUGCCAUCAGCAAGACGGCAAUCCAUCAAGCCUCCUUCUCACGUUUGACCUCGGAUCAGGUAGGGAUACCCGCUGAACUUAAGCAUAUCAAUAAGCGGAGGAAAAGAAACCAACAGGGAUUGCCCUAGUAACGGCGAGUGAAGCGGCAACAGCUCAAAUUUGAAAUCUGGCUCUUUCAGAGUCCGAGUUGUAAUUUGCAGAGGGCGCUUUGGCUUUGGCAGCGGUCCAAGUUCCUUGGAACAGGACGUCACAGAGGGUGAGAAUCCCGUACGUGGUCGCUAGCUAUUGCCGUGUA
rnacentral:sRNA from 1 species